rnacentral:rRNA from 1 species
GGAUCAUUACUGAGACUGGGUUUGCUCCGGCAGCCCGACCUCCAACCCUUUGUCUACCUACCUUUGUUGCCUCCGGUGUCUUGGGCUUAACAGCCCUCGCCCGGGAAAGGCCGUUUAUUAAACCCUUUAUGUUUUAAACCUAGUCUUCUGAGAAAACAAUCAAUAAACUUCAAAACUUUUAACAACGGAUCUCUUGGUUCUGGCAUCGAUGAAGAACGCAGCGAAAUGCGAUAAGUAAUGUGAAUUGCAGAAUUCAGUGAAUCAUCGAAUCUUUGAACGCACAUUGCGCCCUCUGGUAUUCCGGGGGGCAUGCCUGUUCGAGCGUCAUUAUCAACCAUCAAGCUAUGCUUGGAAUUGGAUGUCCCCCCCGGGCUUUUCCGGGGGAGCGUCUUAAACCGGUCGGCGGUGGCUUCGGGCCCUAAGCGUUAGUAAUACUUGUCGCUUUUCGGUGCUCCGGCAGUUCGCCCGCCCCUAAAACCCAACAUCUCAAGGUUGACCUCGGAUCAGGUAGGGAUACCCGCUGAACUUAAGCAUAUCAAUAAGCGGAGGAAAAGAAACCAACAGGGAUUGCCCUAGUAACGGCGAGUGAAGCGGCAACAGCUCAAAUUUGAAAUCUGGCGCAAGCCCGAGUUGUAAUUUGCAGAGGAUGCUUCGGCGUCGGCCCCGUUCUAAGUUCCUUGGAACAGGACGUCCUAGAGGGUGAGAACCCCGUCUUCGAUCGGGUCGCCUUCGCCAUGUGAAGCUCCUUCGACGAGUCGAGUUGUUUGGGAAUGCAGCUCUAAGCGGGAGGUAAAUUUCUUCUAAAGCUAAAUAACGGCCAGAGACCGAUAGCGCACAAGUAGAGUGAUCGAAAGAUGAAAAGCACUUUGGAAAGAGAGUUAAAAAGCACGUGAAAUUGUUAAAAGGGAAGCUCAUGCUGCCAGACUUGGCCGAGGCUCUUCGGGGCUUCGGGCAGGCCAGCAUCAGUUCGGGGGGCCUGAUAAAGGUCUCGGCAAUGUAGCUCCCCCGGGAGUGUUAUAGGCCGAGGCGUAAUGGGGCCAUCCUGGACUGAGGAUCGCGUUCGCUAGGAUGCUGGCGUAAUGGCAGUAUGCGACCCGUCUUGAAACACGGACCAAGGAGUCUAACAUCUAUGCGAGUGUUUGGGUGUAAAACCCAUGCGCGUAAUGAAAGUGAACGGAGGUGGGAACCGCAAGGUGCACCAUCGACCGAUCCUGAUGUCUUCGGAUGGAUUUGAGUAAGAGCAUAGCUGUUGGGACCCGAAAGAUGGUGAACUAUGCCUGAAUAGGGUGAAGCCAGAGGAAACUCUGGUGGAGGCUCGCAGCGGUUCUGACGUGCAAAUCGAUCGUCAAAUUUGGGUAUAGGGGCGAAAGACUAAUCGAACCAU